UACGUAGGGCGCAAGCGUUAUCCGGAAUUAUUGGGCGUAAAGAGCUCGUAGGCGGUUUGUCGCGUCUGCCGUGAAAGUCCGGGGCUCAACUCUGGAUCUGCGGUGGGUACGGGCAGACUAGAGUGAUGUAGGGGAGACUGGAAUUCCUGGUGUAGCGGUGAAAUGCGCAGAUAUCAGGAGGAACACCGGUGGCGAAGGCGGGUCUCUGGGCCGAAAUUGACGCUGAGGAGCGAAAGCGUGGGGAGCAAACAGG
rnacentral:rRNA from 1 species